CAGCAGCCACGGUAAUACGAAGGGGGCUAGCGUUGCUCGGAAUGACUGGGCGUAAAGGGCGCGUAGGCGGCGGCCAAAGUCAGGCGUGAAAUUCCCGGGCUCAACCUGGGGGCUGCGUUUGAUACUUGGUUGCUUGAGUGGGGAAGAGGGUCGUGGAAUUCCCAGUGUAGAGGUGAAAUUCGUAGAUAUUCGGAAGAACACCAGUGGCGAAGGCGGCUCACUGGCUCAUACUGGACGCUGAGGUGCGAAAGCGUGGGGAGCAAACAGGAUUAGAUACCCGCGUAGUCCCUGUCUCUUAUAC
rnacentral:rRNA from 1 species